GUGCUACUCCCUCCAUUCAACAAAGGAUGUCUCAAGUUUGAUUAAAUUUGAAUGCAUCUAUACACUAGGUCAUGUCUACAUACAUCUAAAUUUUGACAAAUUUGAGACAUCUUUUGUUGGACGGAAGGAGUACAAA
rfam:Brachypodium distachyon strain Bd21 chromosome 1, whole genome shotgun sequence.